GCGGUGUGUGAGGAACUCGUGAUCCCGCGCUGUACAGGAUGACGUCCUGUCUAGGAACAACAACAAAAACCGCCCCUCAGAGUGUGAAUAGUGGAGGAGAGUGCGGCAGCUGCUCAUGACUACUAGACAGGGAACUUUCCCGUGUCUGGAGGAGGUACUUGCUGACUCUAAGCACCAACACGAUAAAUGUAGAUCCGUUUGGGGCCCUUGGCUCUCAUUCAUGUCAUCACCAGAGUUUGGCACCUUGCACUUGAGACCCUGACGUUACUGGUGUGGACUUUCUGUCUGCUGCUCUACUGAUGCUGUCACCGAUCUGGAGAAGGACCGUGCUGACCCGGACUACGAGACUAGGUGAAACCCCUCCCUAGACAGAAGGUGAUUAGUGGCUGAGCAGGCACUUCCAUGUCGAGAUGUCACCAGGAAGUGGUAACCAAGCAGUACUGGGCACUAAUUGCAGCAGAUGUGCGGUGAUUAUCCCGAUCAACAUAGCCGAAAAUGAAUACUGCUCUCAAGAUCAUAGAGGAAGGAGAAAAACUGUUUAUGAGACUCUUGUGCCAAGCUGUGGAAGGACAAAAUGAAGAAUUGUGUCUGUAAUAAGCAAAUGUUCAAUUGGAAAUUGAAGCAUCCUUCUGCUCACUAAGAUCAAUAGGAAGAAUACAGUAGGAUUAGCUUCAUAUUAUGCAGAAACCUGACCCAGUUUUGCCAGAUUUCUCUUCUACUGAAUAUAAAAAUAACCACUUGUUUAACAAAUGUGGUAAAGACUAUAGCAUCUCAUUGUUAUUCAGCGUUCAUCAGAGCCCCAAGAAUGAUGGUUGACUCGAGCUGGAACAUAAAGCGAGCUAAAACUCUUUUAAUGUCUAAUACUGGCUUCAUCUUUUAACUUGCAAAAAGAACUAAAUAUAUAGUGGAAGCUGCAGGAAAAUGCCAUUCAUACUGCAAUUGUGUGUUAUAUUGUAUAUGUUUGUGUAAGAGAAAGCAAAGAAAUUGUGACAAGGAAACUCUUCUGAAGGCUGCUCACAAUGGCUUGUUCUGUUUAACGGAAUAAAAGGGAGCAUCUGGGAAUCGCAGCCUCAAAGGACGAGCACCAAGCAAGGCCUGUCUUCCCCAACACCUCUCCUCUAUCAUUAGUGAGCAUGAUAUGGCUACUUGGAGGCAGGAAGCCCACCAGAUUAUCUCCUCUCAUUUAGGAGAUGAACGUGUAAUUACGGAUCCGCCAUCGCUCCGCUGCCACCUCACCAGCCCUGUACUGUCUCUACCUAGUCCGCGCUGCCCGCACAACUGUGCCAGCUGCUGCCAACUCCAUCCAGAGUAAUAUUAUUAUAUCAGCAGCUGCCACUGUCCAGAUAAAUGCCCCCUCCAUCACAGCCCGCGAUACCACAGGCUGCCCCCAUAGCAGGUCACAUGUCAAUUACAAAGAUGUCCCAUUAUUGUCUACAAACGAUGCCCCAUGCUGUGCCCAGAUACACUGGCAACAACUACAACUUUCCUGCGAUCUGAUGUGCCCAGCACUGCAUGGAACCGGACAAAUAGGAAACGGCAGAAAAAACGUCCAAAAAACCGGAUCUAACGACAUAAAACAUCU